rnacentral:misc_RNA from 1 species
UUUUUGUACGAAGAAAUAUAAAAGUUCUCCAAAUUCUCUAUCUUCUACAGUUACAUCAAGGCACUUCUACCCAAAAGCAGCACCCAGAAACUUCCUAAAUGAGAAGGUACUGUGGCUAUGCAGGAGGGAUCCACUUAUUUAUCAACAAAAAGAAAAUCAUGAUUUGUUAGUUUCUAUAAUUUUGUAGUGGAUAGCAUUCAUCUUCACAGACAAACAUAUCUAACAAUAAUACUGAUACUUAAACAAGUCAGCUACUCAAGGCCAGUACCUAGUAAAAG